UACGUAGGGUCCGAGCGUUGUUCGGAAUUACUGGGCGUAAAGCGCGUGUAGGCGGCUGCGCAAGUCGGAUGUGAAAUCCCAUGGCUUAACCAUGGAAGUGCACCCGAAACUGCGGAGCUAGAGUCUCGGAGAGGAAGGCGGAAUGCUUGGUGUAGAGGUGAAAUUCGUAGAUAUCAAGCGGAACACCGGUGGCGAAGGCGGCCUUCUGGACGAUGACUGACGCUGAGACGCGAAAGCGUGGGGAGCAAACAGG
rnacentral:rRNA from 1 species